rnacentral:rRNA from 1 species
GACGAACGCUGGCGGCGUGCUUAACACAUGCAAGUCGAACGGAAAGGCCCCUUUGGGGGUCCUCGAGUGGCGAACGGGUGAGUAACACGUGAGUAACCUGCCCUUGACUUCGGGAUAACUUCAGGAAACUGGGGCUAAUACCGGAUAGGAAUCCUUGCUGCAUGGUGGGGGUUGGAAAGCUUCGGCGGUUUUGGAUGGACUCACGGCUUAUCAGCUUGUUGGUGGGGUAGUGGCUUACCAAGGCUUUGACGGGUAGCCGGCCUGAGAGGGCGACCGGCCACAGUGGGACUGAGAUACGGCCCAGACUCCUACGGGAGGCAGCAGUGGGGAAUAUUGCACAAUGGGCGGAAGCCUGAUGCAGCAACGCCGCGUGCGGGAUGACGGCCUUCGGGUUGUAAACCGCUUUCAGCAGGGGCGAAGCUUGUGGUGACGGUACCUGCAGAAGAAGCACCGGCUAACUACGUG